AUCCUGCACCAGAGCUGAUGCUUCUCCCAAUGUUGCUUCCAACUAUAUUUCCAACUGAGUUUGACAUCCUUGGACCAGCAUUUCCCAAAAUUGGGGACAUGCCAAGGCCUGGAACAGAGUUUCGAUUACCAAUUGCAGCAGAGGUUGGCAAAAUUCCAGGAAUAGAACCCCCGACACCAUUAGUGUUGCUACUAUAUCCCGUGUUACCAACAAUACUCAUACCACCUCUACUUGUCAUGCCGCAGAGGUUGGCAGAAUUCCAGGAAUAGAACCCCCAACACCAUUAGUGUUACUACUAUAUCCCGUGUUACCAACAAUACUCAUACCACCUCUACUUGUCAAGCUGGAAUGACCAUGAGAACUUCCUUGGGAUAUCUG
rnacentral:lncRNA from 1 species